CGGGCAGCAGCUCAUUGGUAGAGCACCCACUUCGUAUGCGGGAAGACCUGGGUUCGAUUCCCGGCUGCUUAC
rnacentral:tRNA from 1 species